UACUAUGAAUUACAAGACGGGCUUUACGGAACUACGCCCUAUUACUUCGCCAAAGUGUUUAGCGAGUUUCCGUUACACACGUUUUUCGUGGUGACGUAUACCAUCCCUGUCUACUUCCUGGUCGGCUUCUCGCUGGACGUGUGGGUGUUUUUCCGGGUGUUCGCGCUGAAUUACCUGAUGGUGUACUGUAGCCGCUCCCUGGCCAUGCUCUCCUCCAGCCUCACCCCCACCUUCACAAUGUCAUGCUUCAUUGCUCAGACCUUCUUCUCCAUGUACCUCAUGUCGGCGGGGUUCUUCAUCAACCUGGAGAAUAUAUUUGAAGGUCUACAGUGGGUGUCAAAAGUCUCUUACCUCAAGUGGGGAUUUCAGGGACUGUGUCAGACGGAGAUAUCGAGGUUCAACUUCACGUGCGCCUCUGGUGACCCCCGGCAGUGUAUCAACACCGGACAGCAGGCGCUUGCGCUUUACUCCCUGAACGGGAGCAGUGUUUCCGACUCCUGUCUGGUGAUCCUGGCCUCGAUAUCCGUGUAUAUGGUGCUCUACUUCAUUGCCCUCAAGUUCAUUCCGCAGAAGCCACAUCAAGAUUAAUUUAUUUGUAAAUCAAAAGACAUAAGCAUAUCUGUGAGUGCCUUUUCUUCGAAAAAGGUUUUAUUCUAAGAUACUCGAUCAGAGGUUCACUGAUCACCUUUAUUUAUAUUUGCUCGGGUUAUGAACUGGAGCUUCUAGUAAUUGACCCGUCCGUCAGUUUGUCUGUAAAACUAUUGUGAUCCCACUGCAAUAUUUGAGUGGCGGAUCAAAAGGGAUGAUACAGUCGGACUCUAGGUUGUUUGGCGUUUCAAUGAUUUGAUUGUCACAUGACUGUUUGUGCCAACCCCUACCCCCACCCCCCGAUAAAGUGAUGACUCUGCAACAAGCCAUAAAAGCUGUAUAGUGAUGAGAUAUUUUAUCUUUCUCUAUAAUUGCCAUCACUUAAGAAGUUACAACGAUCGCCUUCAAGGCACGUUUACUUGUAUGUCAAGUGAUAUUUUGUUGUGAUUUUCACUUUGAGAAAAUAAAGUUAAUUUAACACAC
rnacentral:misc_RNA from 1 species